rnacentral:rRNA from 1 species
GGAAACGACUGCUAAUACCGAAUAAGUUCCAAGAGCCGCAUGGCCCAUGGAAGAAAAGGUGGCCUCUACCUGUAAGCUAUCGCCUGAAGAGGGGUUUGCGUCUGAUUAGCUGGUUGGAGGGGUAACGGCCCACCAAGGCGACGAUCAGUAGCCGGUCUGAGAGGAUGAACGGCCACACUGGAACUGAGACACGGUCCAGACUCCUACGGGAGGCAGCAGUGGGGAAUCUUCCGCAAUGGGCGAAAGCCUGACGGAGCAACGCCGCGUGAGUGAUGACGGCCUUCGGGUUGUAAAACUCUGUGAUCCGGGACGAAAAGGCAGAGUGCGAAGAACAAACUGCAUUGACGGUACCGGAAAAGCAAGCCACGGCUAACUACGUGCCAGCAGCCGCGGUAAUACGUAGGUGGCAAGCGUUGUCCGGAAUUAUUGGGCGUAAAGCGCGCGCAGGCGGCUUCCCAAGUCCCUCUUAAAAGUGCGGGGCUUAACCCCGUGAUGGGAAGGAAACUGGGAAGCUGGAGUAUCGGAGAGGAAAGUGGAAUUCCUAGUGUAGCGGUGAAAUGCGUAGAGAUUAGGAAGAACACCGGUGGCGAAGGCGACUUUCUGGACGAAAACUGACGCUGAGGCGCGAAAGCGUGGGGAGCAAACAGGAUUAGAUACCCUGGUAGUCCACGCCGUAAACGAUGGAUACUAGGUGUAGGAGGUAUCGACCCCUCCUGUG